UAACGCGAUAAGUCGACCGCCUGGGGAGUACGGCCGCAAGGUUWAAACUCAWAUGAAUUGACGGGGGCCCGCACAAGCGGUGGAGCAUGUGGUUUAAUUCGAUGCAACGCGAARAACCUUACCUACCCUUGACAUCGAGAGAACUUUCCAGAGAUGGAUUGGUGCCUUCGGGAACUCUCUUACMGGUGCUGCAUGGCUGUYGCAGCUCGUGUUGUGAAAUGKUGGGUUAAGUCCCGUAACGAGCGCAACCCUUGUCCCUAUUUGCCAGCGAUUCGGUCGGGAACUCUWGGGAGACUGCCGGUGACAAACCKGAGGAAGGUGGGGACSACGUCAAGUCAUCAUGGCCCUUACGGGUAGGGCUWCACACGUGCUACAAUGGUCGGUACAAUGGGUUGCGAAGCCSCGAGGUGGAGCUAAUCCCAUAAAGCCGGUCUCAGUCCGGAUCGGAKUCUGCAACUCGACUCCGUGAAGUCGGAAUCSCUAGUAAUCGUGAAUCAGAAUGUCACGGUGAAUACGUUCCCGGGSCUUGUACACACCGCCCGUCACACCAUGGGAGUGGACUGCACC
rnacentral:rRNA from 1 species